UUGCCAGACUCCUACGGGAGGCAGCAGUGAGGAAUAUUGGUCAAUGGGCGGGAGCCUGAACCAGCCAUGCCGCGUGAAGGCGAGUGCCCUACGGGCGUUAAACUUCUUUUGUGCGGGAGCAAUAAGGGCCACGCGUGGCCCGAUGAGAGUGCCGCACGAAUAAGCAUCGGCUAACUCCGUGCCAGCAGCCGCGGUAAUACGGAGGAUGCGAGCGUUAUCCGGAUUUAUUGGGUUUAAAGGGUGCGUAGGCGGAAUAUCAAGUCAGCGGUAAAAAUUCGGGGCUCAACCCCGUCGUGCCGUUGAAACUGAUGUUCUUGAGUGGGCGAGAAGUAUGCGGAAUGCGUGGUGUAGCGGUGAAAUGCAUAGAUAUCACGCAGAACUCCGAUUGCGAAGGCAGCAUACCGGCGCCCAACUGACGCUGAAGCACGAAAGCGUGGGUAUCGAACAGGAUUAGAUACCCCGGUACCA
rnacentral:rRNA from 1 species